rnacentral:rRNA from 1 species
GUAGGUGGCAAGCGUUAUCCGGAAUUAUUGGGCGUAAAGCGCGCGCAGGCGGUUUCUUAAGUCUGAUGUGAAAGCCCACGGCUCAACCGUGGAGGGUCAUUGGAAACUGGGGAACUUGAGUGCAGAAGAGAAAAGCGGAAUUCCACGUGUAGCGGUGAGAUGCGUAGAGAUGUGGAGGAACACCAGUGGCGAAGGCGGCUUUUUGGUCUGUAACUGACGCUGAGGCGCGAAAGCGUGGGGAGCAAACAGGAUUAGAUACCCUGGUAGUCCACGCCGUAAACGAUGAGUGCUAAGUGUUAGAGGGUUUCCGCCCUUUAGUGCUGCAGCUAACGCAUUAAGCACUCCGCCUGGGAGUACGGUCGCAAGACUG